CAGUCGCCGCGGGAAUACGUAGGGUGCAAGCGUUAAUCGGAAUUACUGGGCGUAAAGCGUGCGCAGGCGGUUAUAUAAGACAGAGGUGAAAUCCCCGGGCUCAACCUGGGAACUGCCUUUGUGACUGCAAGGCUAGAGUACGGCAGAGGGGGAUGGAAUUCCGCGUGUAGCAGUGAAAUGCGUAGAUAUGCGGAGGAACACCGAUGGCGAAGGCAAUCCCCUGGGCCUGUACUGACGCUCAUGCACGAAAGCGUGGGGAGCAAACAGGAUUAGAUACCCGGGUAGUCCCUGUCUCUUAUAC
rnacentral:rRNA from 1 species